UACGAAGGGGGGCUAGCGUUGCUCGGAAUUACUGGGCGUAAAGCGCACGUAGGCGGCUCUUUAAGUCGGGGGUGAAAUCCUGGAGCUCAACUCCAGAACUGCCUUCGAUACUGAAGAGCUCGAGUCCGGGAGAGGUGAGUGGAACUGCGAGUGUAGAGGUGAAAUUCGUAGAUAUUCGCAAGAACACCAGUGGCGAAGGCGGCUUCCUGUCUGCGACUGACGCUGUGGCGCGAAAGCUAGGGGGAGCAAACGGG
rnacentral:rRNA from 1 species